GUCCACGCUGUAAACGAUGAGCACUAGGUGUAGCGGGUAUUUACCCCUGCGGUGCCGACGCUAACGCAUUAAGUGCUCCGCCUGGGGAGUACGGUCGCAAGAUUAAAACUCAAAGGAAUUGACGGGGCCCGCACAAGCGGUGGAGCAUGUGGUUCAAUUCGACGCAACGCGCAGAACCUUACCCGGGCUAGACAACAGUGGACCGCCCCAGAGAUGGGGCUUUCCCUUCGGGGACCGCUGGUUCAGGUGCUGCAUGGCUGUCGU
rnacentral:rRNA from 1 species